GGGGGUAUGGCUCAAAUGGUAUAGCACUUGUUUCCCAAGCACCAGAUAUUAAUUUCAAAUAUUAGUAUUUUCA
rnacentral:tRNA from 1 species